rnacentral:sRNA from 1 species
UCAGCACAAACCGGAACCUCGCAACGGCUCGACUGAGGGGUGUUGAUGUCGGGGGAACCCCCCCUGUGAAAUAAGCGGGAUAGAGAGAAAGACAAAGACCGGGAAUAAACUAAAGCGCCUUUAUGGCGCUUUAGUUUU